rnacentral:rRNA from 1 species
GAUGAACGCUGGCGGCGUGCCUAAUACAUGCAAGUCGAGCGAACGGACGAGAAGCUUGCUUCUCUGAUGUUAGCGGCGGACGGGUGAGUAACACGUGGAUAACCUACCUAUAAGACUGGGAUAACUUCGGGAAACCGGAGCUAAUACCGGAUAAUAUUUUGAACCGCAUGGUUCAAAAGUGAAAGACGGUCUUGCUGUCACUUAUAGAUGGAUCCGCGCUGCAUUAGCUAGUUGGUAAGGUAACGGCUUACCAAGGCAACGAUGCAUAGCCGACCUGAGAGGGUGAUCGGCCACACUGGAACUGAGACACGGUCCAAACUCCUACGGGAGGCAGCAGUAGGGAAUCUUCCGCAAUGGGCGAAAGCCUGACGGACCAACGCCGCGUGAGUGAUGAAGGUCUUCGGAUCGUAAAACUCUGUUAUUAGGGAAGAACAUAUGUGUAAGUAACUGUGCACAUCUUGACGGUACCUAAUCAGAAAGCCACGGCUAACUACGUGCCAGCAGCCGCGGUAAUACGUAGGUGGCAAGCGUUAUCCGGAAUUAUUGGGCGUAAAGCGCGCGUAGGCGGUUUUUUAAGUCUGAUGUGAAAGCCCACGGCUCAACCGUGGAGGGUCAUUGGAAACUGGAAAACUUGAGUGCAGAAGAGGAAAGUGGAAUUCCAUGUGUAGCGGUGAAAUGCGCAGAGAUAUGGAGGAACACCAGUGGCGAAGGCGACUUUCUGGUCUGUAACUGACGCUGAUGUGCGAAAGCGUGGGGAUCAAACAGGAUUAGAUACCCUGGUAGUCCACGCCGUAAACGAUGAGUGCUAAGUGUUAGGGGGUUUCCGCCCCUUAGUGCUGCAGCUAACGCAUUAAGCACUCCGCCUGGGGAGUACGACCGCAAGGUUGAAACUCAAAGGAAUUGACGGGGACCCGCACAAGCGGUGGAGCAUGUGGUUUAAUUCGAAGCAACGCGAAGAACCUUACCAAAUCUUGACAUCCUUUGACAACUCUAGAGAUAGAGCUUUCCCCUUCGGGGGACAAAGUGACAGGUGGUGCAUGGUUGUCGUCAGCUCGUGUCGUGAGAUGUUGGGUUAAGUCCCGCAACGAGCGCAACCCUUAAGCUUAGUUGCCAUCAUUAAGUUGGGCACUCUAAGUUGACUGCCGGUGACAAACCGGAGGAAGGUGGGGAUGACGUCAAAUCAUCAUGCCCCUUAUGAUUUGGGCUACACACGUGCUACAAUGGACAAUACAAAGGGCAGCGAAACCGUGAGGUCAAGCAAAUCCCAUAAAGUUGUUCUCAGUUCGGAUUGUAGUCUGCAACUCGACUACAUGAAGCUGGAAUCGCUAGUAAUCGUAGAUCAGCAUGCUACGGUGAAUACGUUCCCGGGUCU